rnacentral:rRNA from 1 species
GACGAACGCUGGCGGCGUGCCUAAUACAUGCAAGUCGAACGAACCGCGACUAGGUGCUUGCACUUGGUCAAGGUGAGUGGCGAACGGGUGAGUAACACGUUGGUAACCUACCUCAUAGUGGGGGAUAACAGUCGGAAACGACUGCUAAUACCGCAUAGGACAUAGGAUCACAUGAUCCAGUGAGGAAAGUUGGCGCAAGCUAUCGCUAAGAGAUGGACCCGCGGUGCAUUAGCUAGUUGGUAGGGUAAAGGCCUACCAAGGCGAUGAUGCAUAGCCGACCUGAGAGGGUGAUCGGCCACAUUGGGACUGAGACACGGCCCAAACUCCUACGGGAGGCAGCAGUAGGGAAUCUUCCGCAAUGGACGCAAGUCUGACGGAGCAACGCCGCGUGAGUGAAGAAGGUCUUCGGAUCGUAAAGCUCUGUUGUUAGAGAAGAACAGCGCAUAGAGUAACUGUUAUGCGUGUGACGGUAUCUAACCAGAAAGCCACGGCUAACUACGUG